rnacentral:rRNA from 1 species
AUUGAACGCUGGCGGCAUGCCUUACACAUGCAAGUCGAACGGUAACAGGUCUUCGGAUGCUGACGAGUGGCGAACGGGUGAGUAAUACAUCGGAACGUGCCUAGUAGUGGGGGAUCACUACUCGAAAGAGUGGCUAAUACCGCAUGAGAUCUACGGAUGAAAGCAGGGGAUCGCAAGACCUUGUGCUACUAGAGCGGCCGAUGGCAGAUUAGGUAGUUGGUGGGAUAAAAGCUUACCAAGCCGACGGUCUGUAGCUGGUCUGAGAGGACGAUCAGCCACACUGGGACUGAGCCACGGCCCAGACUCCUACGGGAGGCAGCAGUGGGGAAUUUUGGACAAUGGGCGCAAUCCUGAUCCAGGAAUGCCGCGUUCAGGAUGAAGGCCUUCGGGUUGUAAACUGCUUUUGUACGGAACGAAAAGCCCCGGGUGAAUACCCUGGGGUCAUGACGGUACCGUAAGAAUAAGCACCGGCUAGCUACGUGCCAGCCGCCGCCGUAA